rnacentral:misc_RNA from 1 species
GAUGAAGAACGUAGCGAAAUGCGAUAAGUAAUGUGAAUUGCAGAAUUCAGUGAAUCAUCGAAUCUUUGAACGCACAUUGCGCCCCUUGGUAUUCCGAGGGGCAUGCCUGUUCGAGCGUCAUUAUAACCCCUCAAGCUCAGCUUGGUAUUGGGGCCUGCCGCACGGGCAGCCCUUAAAAUCAGUGGCGGUGCCAUCUGGCUCUAAGCGUAGUAAUUCUUCUCGCUAUAGAGUCCCGGUGGAUGCUUGCCAUUAACCCCCAAUUUUCUAUGGUUGAACUCGGAUCAGGUAGGGAUACCCGCUGAACUUAAGCAUAUCAAUAAGCGGAGGA